CCAUCUGUGUGGAAAGACAUGUUUGUAAAUUUUCAAAUAAUGGUAAAAGAAGUGAAAAAUAUACUUUAGUUAGUGUGCCCUCACUCCUUUUAAAUAUUGUAACAGAUAAAACGUUUUCUGCUUCCUGUGUGAUACUUUUAUAAUUUAAAGCUGCAAAAUAUGGUAUGAUAAAAAUGAUAUGCCUUUCACUAAGCAGCCCAGUGGGAGUAAGGUCUGGGAAUUUUCAUUAUUCUAACGGAGGAUGCUCACCAACUGGUGAUGUGUCGUACUAAUGAGCUAAUGAGUCUGUGCCAGAAACAUCUAAUGAAUGGGCAUCAAUUUUGCUCUUGGUUUUCACUUUACUACUGAAGCCAAGAUGUUUUCUUUGAGCUUGCUCCUAAGAGUGUUUUGUGGAUGCUUCUCCUUCUUGGAAAAGUGAAGCACAAGGCACAUAGAUCUCAAAAUUGCAAAAGGCAGCCAAGGAGACUCUUAAAUGAUAGUCUCACCAGAUGGGGCCAAAAGGCGUAUCCUGCGCCACGGUUUAAAAAAAGAAACUGAUUCAAGUUUCAAAGUAAAGAGAACUCUGUUUUGACAUAAAAAAAAUGGCAAAUUUUGCAGAGGCAGACUUGUUGAAAUCUCAUUUUAUGAAAAUGACAGUUAUGGCUGCUGCUCUUAUAUUUAUAAAAUACUUUGUUUAAACAGUUGACGAUAUUACCUAAGGGAAGUAGUGUCUUACCAAAUCUCUUUCUUCUUACUUUUUAGAGUAUUCUAUUUUGGUCUGAUUAUAAAAGUAGUGAAGUGAUAAAAGGGGCCCUCCUUUUCCCACACCAUGGCAGACGCGCAGAGAAACCCUUUCCUGUACAGAACACCUGACAAUGCUGGAUGAAAAUUUAAACACAAUUUUAAGGCUUAGCCAGGUUGGAUGUCCAGACAGGAUAAUCAGCUGAGACUAGAAACAAGAAAGAAGGGCAUCAUGGGAGAUGUUCCCACAUCUUGCAUGAAAGUUUUCAUGGAGGCUUUUGUAAAGCUAUUCGCAGAAAGGACUCUCUUACUCUCGUAGUCGGCAUUAGAGGACCAGAAUCCUACCGCGUGUUGGACAAACAGCCCUUUAGAGAUCAAGCUUCAAGCACACCUUAGAGAAUCUAAAGUUUGCUCAGAGACAGGAGGACAUUUCUCUUGGAUCUUCACCAUGACCUGACAGGAUUCCUGGAAGUAAAAUCCACCAAAGUGAGGGGACCCUUCUAAGGCUGUGGCCUCCAGGAGUUUCUCGUUCUAACCCAGUCCGUUCUCACCAUCCAGAAAUUCAUCAAAAUUAUCAUUGAAAUGUUCCUAUCAGUGUAUGUCGCCAGUGACUUCUACUGUUGGCUUUAACUGAGGCGAGUGGCCCAGUUAGCAGAGGACUCCCACCUUGAAAUAAUCAUGGGAAGGUUGCCAAAGAGAACAUUGAGUCCGGUCAGAAACAGCUGCCAGUGCAACCCUGCUGCCCUUGACUCUGGGUCUCAAGGUUUUUUCACUUUCCCAUUCUCAAACAAAAGUCUGAACUUCCCUUGACUAGUCUGUGUUUGAGAGUCCAAUUCAUUCUUAAGAGUAGAGAUGUUCUUCCUUUGUCCAUCAGACACAGAAAAUGGUGUGCACCAAGCCACCCAUUCCCAGGGUCCACCUCUGUUAAGGACUGUGCUAUACACAAGAGAGGGUGCAGAUCAAUGGAGUCCCAUGGGUGCUUAUUGUGAUGUCAUUCCUUACCUGCUAUUCAAGAAAACACUUUGAGAUGAAAAUGCGAGUGAUACCAUUAUAGGGAUAACCUUAAAUCGACUCUAAUUAAUUUUUCAAGCAACUCUUGCACAUACUUGAGUGUUUUGCUAAAAUUGGUAACAUUUUGAACACACUUAACAAUUGAUCUUGACAAACCACAGUUGAGAAUUUCUGUCUCAUUAGAUACAGUCACUUUGAAUGGGAGAAACAUGGGACAGAGUAGACCUCUUAGCAACUUAAGGACAUUUUAUUAGGGCCAAUCUUGACAUAAAAGUGAAAAUAGUAUCAUGGUUGUUCUGUCUCAUUUUCUGUCAUCAAAACUAUUGAUCAGAACAUUAAUAGCAAGCUAUUGACAGGCUCUUAGGCCUGCCAAGUAGUGUGCAAAGUUGUGCAGUGCACAACUCCAGGAAUACCAGGCACAUGUACCAUUCAACUGUGCAGUUUAACUUAUGGUUGUACAUGGAGUCUUUGGGGGCCCUCCUCGGGUAUGGCGUGAUAUGUCAGUACCAGGUUACUGACCAUUCACUUACCAAUAUUGGAUUACAGACAGUUCUAAGUUCAUCCACUAGUUUUCCAUGAUUUAUUGAUGAGAAUAUCACUCGAGAAGAAAUCAAAUUAUUGACUAUAGUCUACUCAUAUAUAUCUGUAAAUAUAUUAAGACGUUUCACUUAAAUUUUAAAUAGCUGUUUGUUUAAAUGAUUGCUAUGUACUGACAUUUUACUAGUUCUAUUGUUAUCUAAUAAAAUCUCUACAGUAUGUCAUAUAAUUAAUUUAGAAAACCUCAAAUCAUUGCUUUCUGGUUCUGAGAGAGGGAACACACAUUUUCCUCAACCAAAAUGCUUGAAUCAUGGAAAUUAGACCUCUUAAGUUCUCUGGUGCUGAUCAAUGCCACACAAUUAUGGCAUAAGUCAUUUUAAUUUUCAUUUGAAAUAUGCAAUUAUUCAAGAGAGAUUGAAAGUGCUAUUAUCCAGCUCAUGAAUUGUGAGCCUUUCUGGGGUGGGAGCAUGUUUUCUCUAGUAGAAUCUAUAAAGUUCUCCCUACGCAAUUGCUUUACAAAAGGCUGAUUUGUUUAAUUUAUUUUGUCAACAAAUUAAACAGAUGAAUGAAUCUUGCUCAAAACAAGUAUUUUGACGCUUUGAUUAUUUGACUUUAAGCUCCACCAAACUAUAAACUCCUUGAAAGUGGAGAUUGUACCUUACUGUCUCUGUAUCGCUAAAUCUAGUGGGAGAAGAGGAAUGUGUUACAGGGUCAAACUGUUGCUUAUAUGUGAGAACAGGCGUAUAUAUUUUUAAGAAAUAUUGCUAAUAGAAAUCACUUAGUAGUGAGUGAAUUAGUUAAUGUAUCAGCCUAUUUAUUCAGAUGUUUAAGCAGUGAUUUAUGUAAAUAGUCUAAAUAUGUUUUAAUUACUAUAUUAUCACAAAUAUAUCAUAUGUAUGACAAAAAAGUCAACAAAUACCUAUUUAUGUGUAUUAUUAGUAUUUUCUUUUUUACAUAAAGAUCCUUUUAUAAAUAGCCAUAAGAAGAUUUUCAUAGCAAGGACUUAAGUUGAUUUAAAGUGAGGUUUAAAUGUGGACUCUCUUCAAAGAGAUGUACGUGUUGGUACAAGACACACUUCUGAAGCCAAUAUUUUCAGAUGUGCUUUUACAGGAACUGCAUUUUUAAGAGCUCACAUUAUAGUGCUAUAGACAAUGAGAUAUUAUUGCAUUUUUCCAUAGCAGUUGGAAAUCUAUUUCUUGCUGUCAGCUAAGAACUGUGCACUACAAUAAAAUUGCCAAAGGCGCCCAGCCAGGGGUGCAAUAUAAUUCUCACCAACCAGCUUAUUAUAAAUACCAAAACUGUACCCUACCAGACAUUUACUAUUAGAUGAAUAAUGACUAAGAUGAAUCUGUUGAAGUCUGACUUAAAAGGGGACAGAUAUAAAAUGUGGUCCAACAGAUGGAAUGUUUAAAACAGAAACAGCUGCUUACCGUCAACUCAUUUUCUUUAACAAAUCUCCUUUCUUAGUCAUUAAAACACUUUCUGUUCAAAGCCAUGUACAAAGUUUGAAAUAGCUAUUUUGUCAACACACAUCUGCAUGAUCUCAAAAGCUACAUGGUGUGACUUUACAACGCAAUUAGUGGAGUUUCAUUUGGAAGAGUCCAAAAAAAAGUAAAAAAGAGGAAAAUGCCUUUCAAUAAGAGGCAAAAGGAUGUAUUCUAGAAGAAUAAUGAUAACUUUCCACAUUAGUGCAUAAUAAAUGUCCAUUUUGUUACUGCUUUACAAACAGUAAUGAAAAGAUUAGCUGAGAUAUAUAAAAAAUAGGCUUGUAGUCAUGGAAUUGAUCAAAGUUUGCGUAAGAUUUAAAAUCAGCAUACUCUUCCCUUCCUAAAUGAACAGUUUAUUUGAAAUGAGCGUAGUGAUAAUUGCUAAAUGAGCAUUUAGUGAUUAAUAAUUUGCAAACACUUCAAUGUUUUUGGAUGGUAGUGAAGAGUGACAGAGAGAGUACUGGUAGGACAGUAAUAAUUUAGUAUUCCACAUGUAGUGUUAAUACCCAGAAAUGAAAAUAGACAGUUGCCUGUAGGUUUGAUGCUUAUAGCACAAAUUAAGUUAUAAGAAGAUUUCUUUACACUCAAAGAUAAAAUUUACAUACAAGAUAUAUCUACUAUAGAUAAAGUAGGACGAAAUACAUUUGGGUGAUUAUUGAUAUUUAUCACCUAUCUAGAUUGUUGGCCUCAGGUAGCAAACAGGUUUCAUCUUCUUUGCCAAUUCUAAGUGAUUGGAAGUGGCUGCCUGGAGCAUUGUGUUGAGAAAGAUUCUGAGGACUCAUUGAGAAAGUGUCUAACAAUAGGUUAGUGGUGUUUAGAGUGGGAGUAGUGAGUGAUGGCCCAUAUAUCUAAUAUUUAUUAUCCCUAGAGCUAAUAUAGCUUGGAAAUGAACUGCAAAGACAAAAAAAAUUCUAUUAUUUAUGUGUCCGUGAAUAUAUAUUUAUUUUAUUCUCCAAAACUUAAAUUUAAUCAAAUGUGUAGUGAAGGUUUUACUUCUUUUCCUCUCUAAAUCAUAGUCAGUACUUUCUUUGGUAUUUGAUGACUUUCAUAAUCUUUCCAUGUUUGGGGCGCUUUUUGGUUGUGAAAAUAAAAUGAAGAGGUUAUAGUAGGUUGAAAGCAUAAGUCCUACUCUUGACACAAUAUUUAAAAUAAAACUGACAUACAACCAAGAGUCCAAAAUUUUUAUAAACUCCUUGGAUGGUGGGUACUACAGUGUUUUUAAAUUGGAGGUUAAAAGAACAAAGCACAUAAAUAAUGACAGUGAAGGUUGGCUCUAAUCUAAAUAAAUAAAAAUUGUUGAAAAGAAGAUCAUAAUUACUGUCUGAAAAUGUAAGUUAUAGGGAACACAUUCACUGGGCCAUUGGCGGUAUAAACACUCUAAUUCUUGGUUUCACAUCUCUAGACAAGUUUUCUGGAAUUAAUUUUUUUUAUAACCAUAAGGAAGUUCAGAGCUUUUGGUUAAGGCUGAGAGCUCCACAAGAAAGAUCACUGAGAAUUUGUUGACAUAAUUGGAAAAUUUAACUAUUUUGUCACCAUUCAAAUGUAUCUUCCUGAAGGGAAAAAUGCAAAGAUUAGGGUUAGGGCCAUAGAAUGACUCAUGUAUAAGUAACAGACACUUCCAAAAUGAACCACGUGAAAAACAACAGUCUCACUCCAGAAAGACUUCUUGAAAAUUUUAUUUUUCUUAAGUUUCUAUUUAAAAGGAGCUGACCCUUAUCUGAUAGCAGGUUUUCAAAGGAAGAAUGAGUCACGUCAGAAAUGUUGUCAAUUUUGCUUUCAUGAGGUUUGGCAAAGGACUUUCUAUUUUCUCCAUAUUUUAUGAGACCUCAAAAUAGAGUUAGGAAUUUCCUCUCCUAGAGUGAACACUAUAAUACCAACUUGUAGUUAAAAGAUACUUUUCAGUAUCCAAAGAGCUUUCGCCUAUAUCAUUCAGCUUUGCUAGUCCUGAGGCCCUCAUUCAGGAUGGAGUAGAGGUAUUCACACUCCUGUUUUACAAAGGAGACUCCUAAGACAUGGGGGUUUUCCAAGGACACAUGGUUGCUGUGAGCAAAGCUGCGAACCAAAACCCAAACUGUCUGACUCACCACUUACUCGUUCUUCUGACCACUUUAUGUUGAGUGCUUUGGGAUAUCCUGAGGAAGUACAACCUGUGAGUCUUCUUUAAGAGUGAAUGCCCUUCCUUCACCGACAGAGUAAUGAAAGUAUAGGGAUAUAUGUUUUUAGUAAAAGCCAUAGAAACCCUCUUCACAGGAAAAGUCUUAGAGUCGUGCUGCAUGACCUAUUUAUCCUUUCUCCUUUCAUGCUAUUGCUCUGGGUCACAUGAGUCACUCGUUAGCUUAGUUUACAAUCUAUAGUCUGCUGACUCCCAUAUUUAUAUCUCUGGGUCAGAUUUCCUUUCUUCCAUAACUUUAGACCUAAAUGUAUACCUACCCACUGGACACUUUUACUGGAAUGCCUUCCAGGAGCGCCAGACUUAAAAUGCCCCAAAUGGAAUUUACCAUGUUGUUCUGAAACGUGACCCCUUUCUGUGUUGGGAUUGAUACCACCCUUUACUGAAACUAAACAGAACUUGGGUUGCAUCCUUACUUCUUUCCUUGUUAAUCCUUCAUGUACAGGCAUUCUCCAAUCACUGCUGAUUCAAUUUUCCAAGCAACUCUUAAAUCUCAUUGGCUUUUUCUGUUCCUACCGCCUUUAUUCAGGUCUCAUGAGUUUUCACCUGGAUUAAAGUGCACACUUUCUAAGUGGCCCUCUUGAAUGCAAGUUGGCCUCUGUCCAAUCUAGUUUCCACACACCAGUCAGCCAUCAAUGGCUACCCAAAUGUUUGUGAUAAUGUGGCCUGUAGAGGCUGCCUAAUCUGGCUUGUGUUCACUGACUCAGUUUCAUGCUUUAUCACUUUCUGCCUCGUCAUCUCAGCUCAAGCUAUAUUGAAAGUAAUUCCAGCCUUAUGCUGUACGAAGUUCUGUGUUGGGUCCAUUCCUUUGUCUAUAUCAUCAAUAAGUGGUUUCAUUCUUCUACUAUUGGGUCCAUUUCUCCACGUGGCGUCCCUCCCUGCCCAUUGGGAGAUUGUAGAUCCUUUCCCUGUAGAUUUGGCAACAUGUUUUGUUUUGCCCAGUGAAAUUAAGCAGAAGUGGCAUGUGUCACUUUUGGAUAAUAGCUCUAAAAGCCGCUGUGUGCUUCAACAUGAUAUCUUUCUUCUGCCACAAGACAGGCAGUGUCCCAGAUGGAGGACAAUUUAUCAACUAGUGUCCUAAGAAAGAAGACAUGGAGCAGAGCUUCACCCAGUCCAUAAAGGACAGACAGAAUGAAGGGAAAAUAAGCCUUUGUAGGUAUAAACCACUGAGAUGUGGAGCUCUUUUUUGUUAUCUCAGCAUAACUUAGCCUACUUUGGCUGAUACAUCUGCCUGGAAGUUCUCCCUCUUUGCCCAGCUAACUCCUGUCUAUUGUCUCAGCUGAAAUUUUAUUCUCUUCAUAAUCCAUUUCUAAUAACUCUUUGGGUGCAACUCUUGUGUUUCUGUAGAACUCUGUGCUUCCUGUAAUAAUAAUAUUCAAUGCACUGCAUCAUAAUUGUUUGUUUAUUUCUUGUGUCCCCUACUAGAUGGUCAACUCUGUGAGGGUAUGGCCCAUUUCUUUCCUCUUCAUCAUUUUAUUCCUAUGUCUUAGUCCCUAGUGCACAAAUGUUAUGCAAUAGCUAUGUUGUACGAAUGAAUGGUAAAUAAAUAAAGAAAAAGUAGUCAAAUCAGUUCUCACCUCCCCAAAUAUUGUUGAAAGUUUUCAGCUUCAGAGCUGUGUGAACGACAAUGGUACUGGGAAAUUUUCUCUGCUGUGAUGACAGAUGGAACACCAAAAGGAAAAUGUUUGCUAUCAUUGACUUCUAACAUGCACCAGUCUCACUUUCUGUUAUCACACAUUUGCUCUGUGAAAAGUUUUAGUAAUAAAUUAUAGCUUAGACUAUAUUUUUGUCCUAUGAGUCCCUUGAAUGUGUCCAAUUUCAUUGUGGUAAUCAUGCCCAGUAACAACUCCACUAGCCUUGAAGGACAACUUAUCCUUGGAUCACAAGUGUGAGAUAGUGAGGAGGUCAGCCAAUUUCAGGCAAACCUACAGAAGUGUUACAAGGAGAUCUGGUGAAUCGCCAUCUUCCUUAAUCUGGCCAAUGUACUUGCUCUCUUCUUUAUUCUUCUUUAUUAUAUAGUCUGUUUUUAUCAAAGAUGUUAGGCAGUAUGAUUUUGGUUUAGAAUUAUGAUAAUUCUCAUUUUGUCUUAAAAUCACAGCAUAGUUUUAGGUCCAUGUUUGCAUUAUAUAUCUCUGACUCUCUAGCAUAGUGUCAUACAUGCAAUAGCGUUUCAAUGAAUAUUUAUUUCCAAUCUCUACCCUCCUCUUGCCGCUACUUAAAUGUUUUCCCUUCACUAUCAAAUAUAUUGAAAACAUUGAAAGAAUAGUUUAUAUAUUUUACUUUCAUUUUUGAACAUCUCAUUUACAUUUUAGCCCAUUGCCUUUUAGGUUUUUUCUUUAAUACUCUACCCAAGCACACACACACACAGAACCAGGUCAAAGAUUUUAGCCUGAGGCUAUGGAGAUCCUGUGACAAAAUUCCACUAGGAAAAAUUUGUAGAACCUAGCUUCUCUUCAAUUCUUAUUUAGUUCUCAUUUAUUUAUACCAUCCUGUCUUUUCUUUUCUGCCCCUUCCCUUCUUUCCUUUUUACUUCUUUCUCUCUUUUUCCUUUCUUUCUUUCUUCCUUUUUCUUUCUUUCUUUCUUCCUUCCUUCCUUCUUUCCUUUCUUUAUUUUCCUUCUCUGUCUUUCUUUCUAUUAACAGUGCCCAUUUCUCAAAUAGUUUCUGAACCUCGUUGGAAUUACUGUUACUGACAUUUUAAAUGAAGCCCAUCAGUGAACUUGUUGCAGCAUCCAGGCAUUCUGCACAUGGGGUCACUAAUGGAUAUUAAAUUAAAUAAACUGAUAUCUCAGAUGGAUGAGUUGGAAGAGAACAUAGGAACUAGAGCAGUAAUUUACUGAGAAUUAAAAAUAACUCAAAGUUUUCAGCCUGGUAGAAGGCUAAUUGAUGUAUGCACCUGGGAUAAUGUGGCAUUAAGGUUUUUUGGAGAGACGAGAGGGAAGAUUAUAAAUUUAGACUUAAACUUUUAAAAUUUGGGAUGACAGUAAUUCAUGAAAGAGGAAAUAUCCAGAAGGCAGUGGAGCUUAAAAAAAAGAAGAAAAGGCAAGGUUGAUGAAAGAUGUAGAUUGGGAGAGGUAUUCUUUGAGCAUUGAGUGUGACUCUGAAGAGAAAAUAUGGAGAUAGACAAAUGAAAGGGGGCUAUGCCACAAUUACCACUUCUAGCAAAGGAAGCAGAGAAGAUGCAGCCAAAGGUUUUCUCCUUCUCUGAAUAACAGUGAUAUAGUUUCCUGGAAACCAAGAGUGGAGAGAUUCUGUGGAAAUAGCCAGGACAACAGGUGGAAGGAAGCACGGAGAUGUAUUUGGCUUGUCCAAUCAGAUGCUGUGUUUAGGACUUUGACUCUUACUUGAAUAAGUAAGGCUUUGACUCCUAUUCAAAGAAGCUUGGAAACUGAACUAAGCGAGGCAUCUAGAGGGUGAGAACGUCAGACUGCUCCAGCUACAAGAACUUGGCAGUACAUGGAUCCUACUGCCAAGGUCCCUUUGUUCUUGACAGUUUUCCUGGCCAGGUCCUCAGCUUCUCAUUGACCAUGAGUCCCCUCAUUCUUCUAAAAAGUCUCUUUCUUAUUUAAGAUGGCCAGCAUUGGUUUCUGUUGCUUGAAACAAAGCACCUUCUCUGAUGCACAGGGUUAUUUCAUAUUAUUUCUGGGUGCUAAGACAGAUAUUAGCUUCUGCAGGUAGUACUGGGGGUAGCAAGGAUGGAGGAGGAGCUAUAUUUAAAGAUGAAGAGGUCAUCGAUGGAACUUGGAUGGUCAAGUUCAAUAGCCUGUGGAAGAUUAGACAUUACAUUGUAGGGGAUCAGGGAAUGAGUAAUUGGUGAAUUAAAGAAGGCCAUAAAUACUGACAAAUUUCAAUAAUCUGAAAUUACCUAUGGGUCUUUAAAGUAAGUUGCAGAUAGAAUGUAAAUGUAUGAGAGGUGGGGUACAAAUGUCAUGGGGAGAAAUGUGAGAAGAUCAAACACGGCACAGUUAGGGUUAGUCAACCAAAUACGUAACAAAGUGUGUUGAUGGGAGUGGGAUGAUUGAAGGUGGAGAAGGAAAGCAUUGUAGACACUGAAAUGAAUAGAAUGAAUUCCACUCAUUAAAUAAUAACGUGAUGGGUUUUUACUAUUAUCUUCCUACUUUGUACCAACACCACAAGUAAUAUAAGUUAUAUUACACCAGAAAAACCUCCACAAAUUGCUACCAUAUUUUCUAGUCCUUCUAGAUACCUAAACAGUGGAAAACUUUUGAUAUCUGAGAACUCCUUGCCUGGGAUUAAGGAAAUAUGCUCAUCUAGUGUAUGAAAAUUGUCAUUGAUGUACUGAUUAGUUUUCUUGACAUGUUUUAGCAGACCUCUUUUUUUCCAUCAGAAAUCAUGUUUUGGUCAUAUAGGGCUUUAGAGGCAAUAUGAAUAAAUAUAGAAUAUCUUUAAUUUUCUUCCUUUGCCAUUGCUACAGAUAAAUCAGCCAUGUUGUGUGAGAAAUGGUUAGCAAAUUUCACAGCUGUCAACAAAUUCAUAAAACAGCGCUUUUAGCAAUUCCAUAAAAAGAUGUUGUUUGCUUUUAUGUUUCAAAUAUACUUUGAAUUAAUUUGAAGCAAAGAAAGUCCAAAGUCCAAAGGAGAUUAAAAAAAUGAUGUUAUCAAAUCACAGAAUCUAAAAUCCAGCAAACACUAAAAGGAAACAUUGAUUCUUUCAGUUAAUUUCUUGACAGGAAAGGCCAACAUAUGUGACUAUAUACACAGAGUAGACUCCAUAGCUUCAUGGAGCUUCUAGUCUGUCUGUUAGGUUCACUAUUCUACUCUUAGCACCUGGCACUGUGCUUGGCACAUGGUAGGUCCUCAAUAAAUACAGGUAUGUGAACGAAUGAAGGGAUGAACGGUAUCUAUGGAAAAUAUCUUAAUUAUAUGAUUUACCUGUGACUAGUUUCUAUAAUUUAAAUUCACUACACAAAAAUUCCAGGCAUGGAAUAAGUAGUAAUCUCUUUAUCUCUACAAAUUGUGAAAUUUGAAGUUUAUCAAACAAACUAACAUUAAAAAUCUCUGCAUCUAGCAUGGAAUGCUUACUUUUCAGUGGGAUGCUUUUGGCAUUAAAUUAGCUUAAUAAAUAUAAUAUAUUUAAUUAGCUUCUAUAUAUUAGCUUUAAUAUAUAGAUGAUAUAUAUAUAUGUAUACUACCACACAAAAUUUUAAAUAUAUUUGAAGCUAAAGAAACUUGUUUAAGGGUCUUGUAGGUGCUCUGUGUAUAAUAACUUAGUAAAACUAGCCAAGUUUUUUUUUUUUUU